rnacentral:rRNA from 1 species
UACAGAGGGGGCAAGCGUUAUUCGGAAUUAUUGGGCGUAAAGGGCGCGUAGGCGGCUUUGCAAGUGGCGGGUGAAAUCCCUCGGCUUAACCGAGAAACUGCCUGCCAGACUGUGAGGCUCGAGACCGGGAGAGGUGAGUGGAAUUCCCAGUGUAGCGGUGAAAUGCGUAGAUAUUGGGAGGAACACCAGUGGCGAAGGCGGCUCACUGGACCGGUACUGACGCUGAGGCGCGAAAGCGUGGGGAGCAAACAGG